rnacentral:rRNA from 1 species
GCUUACGGCCAUACCACGUUGAAAGCACGCCAUCCCGUCCGAUCUGGCAAGUUAAGCAAAAAAUGAUAAAGAUGAUAAAGUAUCAGCAUAAAAUGGACUUUUCGAGUCCCUUUCAUCAGAGGUAGUAAAAGCUAAACUGGUUAAGGGUCCCUUCAGACUCUACUGCCGCAGUAA